UUCUGGAGGGCUAGAUUCCAGCUGCUCAAACAGGAUGCCCAAGAGAAUCCUCUCCUGGGAGGAAUCCAUCAGAGUCCAUUUGGAAACCAGAUAAAGGGGCAGACAGUGAGAUGGACAGCAAGAGACAGACAAGAGACAGGCUGAAAAUGAAUUUCGAAGUGCUGUUGAGUUCAUGAUUGUGGUCAAAUCUUGCUGAGAGACAAGGAAGAAGGGAAAACAAGAAGAGAGAUGAGGAAGA